rnacentral:rRNA from 1 species
AACGAACGCUGGCGGCAUGCCUAACACAUGCAAGUCGAACGAGACCUUCGGGUCUAGUGGCGCACGGGUGCGUAACGCGUGGGAACCUGCCCUUAGGUUCGGAAUAACUCCCCGAAAGGGGUGCUAAUACCGGAUAAUGUCUUCGGACCAAAGAUUUAUCGCCUUUGGAUGGGCCCGCGUUGGAUUAGCUAGUUGGUAGGGUAAAAGCCUACCAAGGCGACGAUCCAUAGCUGGUCUGAGAGGAUGAUCAGCCACACUGGGACUGAGACACGGCCCAGACUCCUACGGGAGGCAGCAGUGGGGAAUAUUGGACAGUGGGCGAAAGCAUGAUCGAGCAAUGCCGGGAGAGUGAUGAAGGCCGUAGGGUUGUAAAGCUCUUUUACCCGGGAUGAUAAUGACGGUACCGGGAGAAUAAGCACCGGCUAACUCCGUG